GAUGAACGCUGGCGGCGUGCCUAAUACAUGCAAGUCGAGCGAACAGACGAGGAGCUUGCUCCUCUGACGUUAGCGGCGGACGGGUGAGUAACACGUGGAUAACCUACCUAUAAGACUGGGAUAACUUCGGGAAACCGGAGCUAAUACCGGAUAACAUGUUGAACCGCAUGGUUCAACAGUGAAAGACGGUCUUGCUGUCACUUAUAGAUGGAUCCGCGCCGCAUUAACUAGUUGGUAAGGUAACGGCUUACCAAGGCAACGAUGCGUAGCCGACCUGAGAGGGUGAUCGGCCACACUGGAACUGAGACACGGUCCAGACUCCUACGGGAGGCAGCAGUAGGGAAUCUUCCGCAAUGGGCGAAAGCCUGACGGAGCAACGCCGCGUGAGUGAAGAAGGUCUUCGGAUCGUAAAACUCUGUUAUUAGGGAAGAACAAAUGUGUAAGUAACUAUGCACGUCUUGACGGUACCUAAUCAGAAAGCCACGGCUAACUACGUG
rnacentral:rRNA from 1 species